GGAUGAAUGGCUGAGUGGUCGAAAGCACACGAUUUGAAAUCGUGCAUUACUAAGUAAUCGUGGGUUCGAAUCCCACUUCAUCCUACC
rnacentral:tRNA from 1 species